rnacentral:rRNA from 1 species
CCUACGGGAGGCUGCAGUAAGGAAUAUUGGUCAAUGGACGAAAGUCUGAACCAGCCAUCCCGCGUGCAGGAUGAAAGCCCUAUGGGUUGUAAACUGCUUUUAGCAGAGAAGAAAAGCUUUCAUUAAUGAGAGUCUGACGGUAUCUGCAGAAUAAGCACCGGCUAACUCCGUGCCCGCAGCCGCGGUAAUACGGAGGGUGCGGGAGUUAUCCGGAAUUACUGGGUUGUAGGGGGGCGUUGGCGGAAGUUUAGAAAUCUUGUCGAUUAACGAUAAAAUUGCCAAUGAGACUGGUACUCUUGAAUUGGGUUGAGGUUAGCGGAAUGUGACAUGUAGCGGUGAAAUGCAUAGAUAUGUCAUGGAACACCAAUUGCGAAGGCAGCUAACUGGGCCUUGAUUGACGCUGAGGCACGAAAGCGUGGGUAGCGAACAGGAUUAGAUACCCCGGUAGUC